ACUAAAUAGAUACCCUGGUAGUCCACGCCCUAAACGGUGUCUACUAGUUGUUGGUGGAGUAAAAAUCCAUGAGUAAACGCAGCUAAACGCGUGAAGUAGACCGCCUGGGGAGUACAGUCGCAAGAUUAAAAACUCAAAGGAAUUGACGGGGGCCCGCACAAGCGGUGGAUUAUGUGGAUUAAAUUCGAUGCAACGCGAAAAACCUUACCUGGCCUUGACAUGCCACUAACGAAGCAGAGAUGCAUUAGGUGCCCGUAAGGGAAAGUGGACACAGGUGCUGCAUGGCUGUCGUCAGCUCGUGUCGUGAGAUGUUGGGUU
rnacentral:rRNA from 1 species